CGGGAGGCAGCAGUGAGGAAUAUUGGUCAAUGGACGAGAGUCUGAACCAGCCAAGUAGCGUGAAGGAUGACUGCCUAUGGGUUGUAAACUUCUUUUAUACGGGAAUAAGUGAGCCACGUGUGGCUUUUUGUAUGUACCGUAUGAAUAAGGAUCGGCUAACUCCGUGCCAGCAGCCGCGGUAAUACGGAGGAUCCGAGCGUUGUCCGGAUUUAUUGGGUUUAAAGGGAGCGUAGGCGGGUUGUUAAGUCAGUUGUGAAAGUUUGCGGCUCAACCGUAAAAUUGCAGUUGAUACUGGCGACCUUGAGUGCAACAGAGGUAGGCGGAAUUCGUGGUGUAGCGGUGAAAUGCUUAGAUAUCACGAAGAACUCCGAUUGCGAAGGCAGCUUACUGGAUUGU
rnacentral:rRNA from 1 species